UUAAUUAGCUCUACUUUGAGAUAAACCAAAUGCCAAGGAAGCCCUCAUAGAUUUUAAUGCUCUCACUGUACAAUAUGUCCCUUUCUGGGGGAAGGCAAACAGAAUGUGGCAGUAAUGAUCAAGUACUGCAUUUAGGGCUAAAAACUGCUCCUGCCAUUCAUGCUGAGUAGGUGUUCCCUUUGAGAAUAGCACAUCACACUUGAAUGGGAACACUUGGAAAAUACUGUACAGUUCAGCCUGCGUAAGGCUGGCAAGACAGACAGAAUCCAGCCUUUAUACUAAAUCAUACCAAGGACUGACAAGAUUACCUUGAUUGGCGUGUACCACUUCUGCUGCAUGGCUGGUGAGGUAGGCUUUGGUUUAGGUGGUUUAGGGUGAAAAGGUUCUUCUGGUUCUUCUGGGAGUUUCACCACAGCAUUCUUUGCUUUUUCCAACCUGGCCCCUUCUUCCGUGGAGCCUUUGUCACCCCAGCGCACCUGAGGAAAGGCAGAGUUCAGGUGUGAGUGCACUGCAUGCACAGGGCAGGGAAAUGCUGCAAGUAACAGAGGGAUAAAUUUGGAAGAAGUUCUGGGUAAACAGGAGGGGAGGUACUGAGGAAAACAUUACCUCUUCAUUAUUCUUAGUUAAAUAUAUUUGUAAAUGAGUCUCUCAGUGGUGAAAAGUCAAGAAAAAUACUGAAAGAAAAUUCCACCAUGCCUCACACUGGCUGUACAGGAGAAAGGGAAUCUGGGAAGCCUUCUCUAAGUAAGGAUGUAAAAAUCUCAUUUCCGGUUCUGAUUUAUCCUAAAAUACCAGAUCUUAAUCUGGCACCGAUCAGAGCUGACAUUUCUGUCAGCCAGGUUUCCUAACCCAGAGUGUUUGUUGAGAACCCCAGUGUAGAUCAAAGGUGAUGCCUGGGCACAUUUGAGCAGAAGCUCCUUGAACCUGCUCAGAUUUCCACAUUAUUCUGCAGGAACACACAUACUGGAGAACUGCAGGUGAGUAGUCUAACCUGCCUAAGUGCAUGUAGAACAUGUAGCAAUGCGUAUUUUAAUCACUGCUGCAAGUAUAUAAAAUACAUACAAAGAGUUCAGAGAGAAGGAAACCUGUGUUAUCUCAGCUGGGCAUACAAGCAGGUAUUCCCACUUCCAUAAGGCUGUACUCACUGCGCUCUGCAGCGGAAAUACAGGGAAAACCUUCCCUCUACGAGAUGAUCUGUCUUGCUGAAGGAAUCCUAUUUCACCUUGUGACUGGAAGCACCAUACAGCAAUCUGAGCAGGGAAGCUGCCAGAGCAAUCAAGUUGCUGGAGGAACAGCAGAAGAACAGAGGACAGAGAAGCAGUGAAAACCAGACAACUGUGUUGCCACACAGACUGCAAACAGGGAAGAAAUGUCAUGACUAGUGCAGCAGUUUUGUUGCUGGCCACAGCACAGAAACCACCUCUAACUGCCAGGAAACCAGGCACUGCCAGGGAAGCAGACCCAGAAGGAAGGAAGAAUAGGUCAUGCCUGGGCCUAAAUGCUGCCCAUCUCCUUGAGGACACUGCCCUGAAGCCCAGGACUACAGAGCCACAAGGGGCCCUUCCAGGUGAUGUCCGAGCCUCAGGAGCAGGAGAGAUGGGCAGGAACAGAGGCACAGCACAAGAACCCAGGGAGCAGCCAGCAAGACCAAAGAAAGGCAAGGCUCAUGAUAUAAAGUGGGAGCAAAGUGACUGACAGAAACCUCCCUGUAUUUCUGAUGCUGGGCCUGUGCCGUGGAGAACAAGACACGAGAGAGGCUUUUUAUUACAGAAGAGGUCAUUGUUCUCGUCUCAGGAACCCCAGACCGUGAGGGUGCAGAUGGAGGCUGAGGACUUCCUGCCCUCAGACAGCUUGGGGCCCCCCGGACCCCCCGGAUUAUGGGAGCUGCACAUGGUCAGGUUACUGAUCUACAGGCAGUAGCAAUCCUGUUGGAGAAAUGCAGGCUGAUGAGCAGAAGGGACUGUUCUCCAUGCUCCACGCCUGAUGGGAAAGCUGCUCUCAAGUCACACUUCAGAUGAGACACAUUUAAAGGCACACAGUGCCCAUGCACAGCACGUGUUAAACACUGGGGGCUUGUGUCUCCCUGCACAAAUCCCAACUGUCCUGCCCACGUCAUGGAGAGCAGACAUGCAAGACUAGAAAAUUGUAUUAAUCUAUUGAUUGUAUAAAGGUACUAAGUUCAAACAGUCACUCUCUGCACAAGUGUGUGGUUUCUCCCAGAAGCAGUUUUAACUCUUUUCCAUAACCUGUGAUCAGACUCAGCAGGAUGUUCACCCUGCCUUACCCCCAGGUGUAACUGGGGUGCUCCAGCCUGUGCUUGGACUGCCUGUCUCCCCAAAUUAACAGAGUUAAGAGCCUACACUCAUUACUCAGGCUCCAGAGUUACGGAGCAUCAGUACCCUCCUGCAGGACUGUAACCGCCCUCCACACCCAGGCUGAAGUCCCAAGGUUCUGCCUACUCUGCUCCCCCUCCCUCACUCAGGGAAGCCAUGCUGAAAUGGGACCCCCGGUGACUGUGUCACACCUGCCCCUUGGGACAUGGUUAUAUUUACAGUGAGCAGGUCUCUGAGGGCAGGGAAGCCUCCCAGUAUUUUGAAAGCCACAGCUUUCCACAGGGAAGUGGAAUCAGAGAUUCCCCGCACUGAGAGGUCCCACAAUGGCCAAGCCCUAAGAGAAAUGGGAUUUGGGAAUUUUACACAGGAUUGUGGUGGUCUUUUACUUACACACUCCGAAGCGGUGAUGGUUAACGAGCUGGACAUGAAAGACUGGCCUUCCUUCAAACUCACCAAAACCUCCAGGGUUCUGCAAAGAGAGAGAGAAAAAACAUGAGUGACCGUGGAGCAGUCAAGAAAGGCUCACACCUGCUCCAGAGGCUCCUGUAUUUGAAGCCUCUGCUCCACAGAGUGUCCCCAGAGGGGAAAUGGAGGCCUGUGCUUAUUCUUGUUUGGGAGUAAGUUUGGUCUCCUUGAUAGAGCUAUAUGAGUAGAGACUAUCCCUCCUCUUUUCCGUGCAGCAUAAAAUACUCCCAAAAGUUUUACAUAAAAUAAAUUGAAGUUCAGCUGUAAAAUCGGCAUUGUUUUGUCUGUUCCAUAACCAUCUCUUUAGUCACAUGCAGGCAUUAUGGAUAAAAAUGUCGGAUAAUUAUAGAUGGUCAGGACUUGCUAUAAAUAGCCCCAAACACUGCAUACAAAUGGUAUGUGGUUUACAUUUUACAAAUUAACCCUACAAGAAAACAACACAUGGUGGAUGUUAAACAGAAGAAGACUCUUCUCUGGCUUGGAUUCCCAGGAUUCAGACAGUUUAUAUUAUGCAUAGAUGUAAUUAAAUAAAAAUAUAGAUAUCCAUGAACUAAAAUGAUUAAUCAUUUAUACCAUUCUUACAUGUCAUGAGUUUUUAUUCUGGCACAAACCCUUUAGUCAAUAUGGAGUUCAAAGCUAUUUUAACUAAUUUGGCUAAUUUCUUCUUCAUUGGUAGCAAAAAUGAAGUGAGUUGCUUCCACUAAACUAAUUUUUAAAUUAUCUGUGUCAUGAAUAAUUGAUCCAACAGAAAGAAUAACUCUAAUUUCUUUCUAAUUAUU